rnacentral:lncRNA from 1 species
UAAAUGCCACAGAUUUGUUUUUAUUUUAAUGAAGCCCAAUGACAGGAGAUCCACCAAUAAACUGGAGGUGCCUUUGAAGCCUAAAAUAUUUAGCAACUGGCCCUUUAAUGUGUUGACCUUUGGACUAAAGGAACUGGGAGGACUUUGGACUGGAAGAAAGAACACAAUAUGACAACCGCUCUCAAAUAUUUGCCGGACUCAACAGGGAGCUGGAUCCAUCCAUCACCAGGGAAUCUUUACUAUGGAACACUCUCCUACCUAUGAAGAAAGAGGAAAGAAAGAACCUAAGACAUCAGAGAGCCACUUAGGAUUAAGAACGCAAGCUGCCCCCAAUAUGCAUCCUCUGUCCUUAAAGACCUGAGCUACGAACAUGGAAAAGAUUGAAA